rnacentral:rRNA from 1 species
CUACGGGGUGCUGCAGUGAGGAAUAUUGCACAAUGGGGGGAACCCUGAUGCAGCAACGCCGCGUGGAGGAUGACGCAUUUCGGUGUGUAAACUCCUUUUAUAUGUCAAGAAAAUGACGGUAGCAUAUGAAUAAGCACCGGCUAACUCCGUGCCAGCAGCCGCGGUAAUACGGAGUGGUACAAGCGUUACUCGGAAUCACUGGGCGUAAAGGACGCGUAGGCGGGUUGGAAAGUCAGGUGUGAAAUCCUACAGCUUAACUGUAGAACUGCACUUGAAACUUCUAAUCUAGAGUAUGGGAGGGGGAGAUGGAAUUAGUGGUGUAGGGGUAAAAUCCGUAGAUAUCACUAGGAAUACCUAAAGCGAAGGCGAUCUCCUGGAACAUUACUGACGCUAAGGCGUGAAAGCGUGGGGAGCAAACAGGAUUAGAUACCCGCGUAGUC